UGGUGCGGACACCAGAGCCAUCAAAAAUCGGCAACAUGAUUUAAGUUCGAUUUGGAUCGAAGAAGCAUCAUUAAAUUGAUUCUACUUCAGUUAUUUAUUUUCAGUCAAUAAAUUUUAAUGCAUUUGGCUUUGGGUCCAUAGGGCCAUACUUGGAUUUGUCUACGUCACCUUUGGAGCCACCACUCUCCACAUGCCAAGAGAAGAAAUAUGCAUACCAGCAUGUACCGUGCUCAUGCCAAGUUGUGUCAAGCAUCAAGCACCCACAUGGAGUUCCAUUUCUUCCUUAGAAUUCCUUAAGAGUUCUUGGCUACUUACUUAUUUUGUUGAAGGUUGAUUUCUUUCCUAUGGUAGAUUAUAAUGCUUUACUUUUUUGUGGAGGGUUGAUUUCUUCCUUGUAAAGAUAAGAGAUUCCUAAACAAACAGGACCC
rnacentral:lncRNA from 1 species